AGAGCGGCUUGUUUGGAUUUGCAUUUUAAGUGGUGACCCUGGCAGCAGUGUGGCAGCUGACUCAGUGAGCAGAGGCAUGAGGCAGGGGAGGCUGUUGCAAUAACCCAGACAGGAGAUGAUGAGGGCUUGACCUUGGGCUGUGGUAGCGGGACAGGGAGAGGGACGGGUUGAGAAACAUUUAGGAGGUCAAGUUGUUGGGACCCAGAGACUGAUGGGAUGUGUGUGGGAUGAGAGGGAGGAGUCAAGGUGGCCUUGUCCUGGGGCUGAGCAGUGGUGCAACCCAGCCCUGAGGAAUUCCGGGAGUGGAGCCGACUUGGAAACUCAAGGCCAAUCUCAGGUUGAGACAUGGGAGCUCAGGAGGGGGAAUUGCACUGAAGAUUUGUCCCAUCGUGAAGCAAGAGCACUGGAACUUACACUCCACCAUCAGGCCCUGUCACAGGAGAACAAAGAAGGAAGGCAGAGGAGAUCAUGCUCCGGCCAGCAGGGAAUCUCCAUUUUUUUCAGCCUCAUACCUUGGAAAGUACAAAGGAGUGAGAGCUGGGACUACCAGCCAGAGGGUUCAUGGAGGUAGUGGGAGGGGAAGAUGGGUUCUGCAUGGAGCCACUCCAGGGACUUUUCUUCUGUCUCACAGCCUGACAAUCACCUCUAGCUGUUCUCAGUCCCAUUCUCAUCAAUGACCUCGUCUCCUGAUUUUGUACAAUAUCUAGGUGACCUUCUCUUCUUUCCAUCUUCAAACGCUUGAUCAUUGAUGCUCCCUUUUCUCUUCUCUCUCCUCCUGGGAAAAGAGAAGGACCAACAUCCCCCUUUCCCUUCCUCCUGUGCUGUCCCGACCCCUCUGAGACCUGGCUCUAGCAGUAAGUCCCUCUCUCUUCUGCAGCACCAGCCUCUGCCCAUCCCUGCCCUCUGCACACAAAGCUCUCACAUUGUCUGCACUUUAAGAACUUUUGUGGCAAACCCUGGCAAAUCCUGCCACUUGUUUCCACUCUUCUCAAAUGGCUUUGAGGUCAUCAUUGACCUAUCCCAUUUGACCCUGUCCUGUAUCUGAUGUUGUACCCUUUCUCCUUGAUCCCACUCUGGCAACUCUCCCACUCCCCUUUCUUGGAUCAACUGUCUUGCUCCUCAGUCUUGAUCAAUGCCUCCUUCUCUCUCUUUAGCCUUGGCCCUUUUUGGCCAGGGAAAUAAAUGUGAAAUACAUAAAGCUUCAUUUUAUCUUAUGAUUAUAGCUAUGUUGAUGUUACCCAAGACCUAAAAGUCACACUCUCUAAUUACACUUCCCUCCUGUGUUCUGGGUCCUCUUGGACCAGUCCUUACUCUGGCUCCCCUCCUGGAUGUCUCCCAGACUUCUAAUUAGAAUUACUGUUUCCUAUAUCAAGCUAAUUAUCUUUCCCACCAACCUCCUCCAUCCUUGGGUGAAAGCAUCACUUGGUUGCAAAAGUCAGAAAUCUGGGUUUCAUUCUUGCGGUAGGUAGAAUAAUGCCCCCAGGCCCCAGGUUUUGACAUCCGAAUCCCUGGGACUUUGCAGAUGUGAUUCAGUUUAGGAUUUUGAGAUGGGGAGAUUAUCUGGGAGAGCCUGAUGUCAUCAUAAGGUUCUUAUAAGAGGGAGGCAGGAGGGUUAGAGUGAGUAGUAAGAGAUGCAACAGUGGAAGCAAGAGGUUGGGGUGAUGUGGCCACAAGCCCAGGAGUGCUGACAGACAUCAGAAGCUGGAAGGGACAAGGAAUGGUUUCUCCUCUGGAGCCUCCAGAAAGAACCAGCCCUGCUGACACCUUGAUUUUAGCCUUGGAAGACUCAUUUUGGACUUCUGACCUUGAACGUUGUAAGAGAAUAAAUUUACAUAUUUUAAACUGGUA
rnacentral:lncRNA from 10 species